AGAAUUUGCAUGAACAAAUGCAAACCCACCGCUCACAAAGUACUUGGUUACAUCGUUGCCUUCGUGAACUGAUAAGACGCCAGGCUUCAGCUCUGCAAUUGUCGCAACAUGCCCAGGCAAGACACCCAUUUGUCCUGUAGUAGCGGGGAUGAUAACCAUAUCAACCUCUUUACCGGAGAGUUCAGAUGAAUAAGGAAGGACAAAGUUGACACUGAGCUUAGAAGGGAUAGAUGACGGAGUUGCGGGCCUAGGUUUCAUGAAGGCAGAUGGAGUCAUAGGAGGUUCCGUGUUGGGUAUUACUUUCUUCCAAGCGUCCGAAAAAGUGGAAUCAACGCUGUUCGCCGCUGGCAGGUCAGUUGAAAAAGGGCGGCGCCACUUCAUCGUGGUGGCUCUAGUUAGAAGUCUAGAACUUUGUCGGAGCAUGAUUGUUGAUGGUUCAGGGGGCGGAGGUCGGCGGCGAUCGAUCGGAAAUGGUAGGGCAGGCGAGAUAAGUGAAAUUUGGGCUGUUGCAAAGAGGUUCAG
rnacentral:misc_RNA from 1 species